AAGGCGACGAUCCAUAGCCGGCCUGAGAGGGUGAACGGCCACAUUGGGACUGAGACACGGCCCAGACUCCUACGGGAGGCAGCAGUGGGGAAUAUUGCACAAUGGGGGAAACCCUGAUGCAGCGACGCCGCGUGAAGGAAGAAGUAUCUCGGUAUGUAAACUUCUAUCAGCAGGGAAGAAAAUGACGGUACCUGACUAAGAAGCCCCGGCUAACUACGUGCCAGCAGCCGCGGUAAU
rnacentral:rRNA from 1 species